GAGAGAGAGAGAGAGAGAGAGAGAGAGAGUAUAAUCUGCAUUUUUAGGGUUAAAAUUACGAAGGAACUUAAUGUUUCUCUCUAAGUGUAGCAGAUGAGCGCUUUGUCAGCUUAUCCUUCAAACCGUGGGCACAUUUCCUUUUACAGGAGAGCGCGCCGAUUUAACAUAUAACAUUGUCUUGAUUUGAUCAAUUCUACAACUUAAAACAGCGAAUUAAAAGCGUGAUCAAAAUCCCCUACAUCAUGCACAUACAUUCUGCGUCCAUGACCUCAGUUUAGUUUUUAACUUGUGACUUCAAAUUCGACAACUUUAAAUUGAUCCACCUGGAAGCUUCUAGAACUACACAUUUCCAAGAACCAGAACUUUUCAGAAUGGAAAAUUCUUGAACUAGGAGAUUAUAAAACUAGAAAAUUCUCCAAUAAGAAGAGUCUAGAACUGGAAGGUUCCAAGAACUAGAAGAUUCAUGAACUACAAGAUUCUAGAACUAGAAAAUUAUCCAACCGGAAGAUUAUACAACUAUACAAUUCGACAACUAGAAGAUUCCAGAACUAGAAGAUCCUUGAAAUACAAGAUUCUACAACUAGAUUAUAAAACUAAAAAAAAUGAUGUAUAAUUAGAAUAUUCUAGAACUAGACAUUUCCAAGAACAGGAAGAUUUUAGAACUAGAAGGUUCCAAGAAGAUUCGUGAACUACAAGAUUCUAGAACUAGGAAAUUAUCCAACCGGAAGAUUAUACAACUAUAUAAUUCCACAACUAGAAGAUUCCAGAACUAGAAGAUUCUACAACUAGAUUAUAAAAGUAAAAAAAAAAAAGAUGUAUAACUAGAAGAUUCUAGAACUAGACAUUUCCAAGAACUAGUAGAUUUUAGAACGAGAAGCUUCCAAGAACAUUCUUGAACUACAAGAUUCCACAGCUAGAACAUUCUAGAACUAGACAUUUCCAAGAACUGGAAGAUUCUUGAACUACAAGAUUCUACAACUAGUACUAGAGCAUUCUACUUCAGAAGAUUCCUGAACCACAAGUUUCUACAACUCGAACUAGAAGACUUGCAGCUAGAAGAUUCUUCAACUACAAGAUCGUAGAACCAGAAAAUCCUUACAACCUGGAAACUCCAGAACUACAAGAUUCUACAACCAGAACCCGAGGAUUCUAGAACUAGACGGCAUCAGGAGUACAAGACUAUAUAACGAUCCAAGAGCACGGCAAGAAGUCGAAGAUUCAAAGACGACUUCUUUUUUUCUCCUUCUUUUCUUUUCCCCCCAAAACAACAUCCGCAGAAUUUCCGAAAGUAAGACGAAGCUCGCGGAGACGUUCACAAAGGCGUCGGCUUCCUGUGCGUCCAUCUGCCGCUCUCUCCCACUCUCUCUCCUUCGUUUUCUCUUCUCUUCUCUCUCUCUCUCUCUUUCAUAGCAGGACAUUUGCUCUCACUUACAGGCGGCAGGGCACUUCCUCUCAAGGGCACGCAGAAGUGUGAGAGGAUGAUGCACUCACAGAGUCAGCGACAGAGAGGGAGAGAGAGUGUUCUGUCAACUCGGUAUAUCAUUGAUUGUCUCCACUUCAGCCUAAUUUAGACAUCAUGCACACACACACACACAUUGCGCACACACACACACACACACACACACUCUGGCAGCCCGAGAGGUUUGGACGUACGAAACAGAGUGCUAACGUCUCUGCAUCACACCUCCCUCAAGCCACGCACUAUAUCUCCGUGCAAUAUUUUCACUCCGGAAACCUGAUGCUCCGCAAGCCUCUCUUCGUCGGACGGGUCACAUGGGGGCACAGACGUUGCGUGGACGUUCCUGAACGAGUUCCCUCGUCGCUGUGUUGUUAUACAGCGUGAUAACAGCAUGGCUGUUCACGCACUCGCUGUGUUUAUUAAUGAGGUCUUUCCAACUGGGCCUUACGACCUACUGACACUCUCGCGCUCUUCUCUCUGAUAAUCUAAGCGAAAGCAGGAGAGGGGAAAAAUGUCUUGGCGAACUCAUUAGUCA
ensembl:lncRNA